rnacentral:rRNA from 1 species
UACGAAGGGUGCAAGCGUUACUCGGAAUUACUGGGCGUAAAGCGUGCGUAGGUGGUUUGUUAAGUCUGAUGUGAAAGCCCUGGGCUCAACCUGGGAAUUGCAUUGGAUACUGGCAGGCUAGAGUGCGGUAGAGGAUGGCGGAAUUCCCGGUGUAGCAGUGAAAUGCGUAGAGAUCGGGAGGAACAUCAGUGGCGAAGGCGGCUUCCUGGCCUGUAACUGACGCUGAGACGCGAAAGCGUGGGGAGCGAACAGG